rnacentral:rRNA from 1 species
GUUGUAUGGUUAAGUGACUAAGCGUACACGGUGGAUGCCUUGGCAGUCAGAGGCGAUGAAGGACGUAUUAACUUGCGAUAAGCCCAGAUUAGGUAGUAAAAACCACUUGAGUCUGGGAUUUCCGAAUGGGGAAACCCACUAGCAUAAGCUAGUAUCGCUGCGUGAAUACAUAGCGCAGCGAGGCGAACCGGGGGAACUGAAACAUCUAAGUACCCCGAGGAAAAGAAAUCAACCGAGAUUCCGAAAGUAGCGGCGAGCGAAAUUGGACUAGCCCUUAAGCUUUUUAUGCGUCAGGUGAAACUUCUGGAAAGUUGUGCGAUACAGGGUGAUAGCCCCGUAACCGGCAACGCAUUUUAAGUGAAAUCGAGUAGGGCGGGACACGUGAUAUCCUGUCUGAAUAUGGGGGGACCAUCCUCCAAGGCUAAAUACUACUGACUGACCGAUAGUGAACCAGUACCGUGAGGGAAAGGCGAAAAGAACCCCUGUGAGGGGAGUGAAAUAGAACCUGAAACCGUGUACGUACAAGCAGUAGGAGCACCUUCGUGGUGUGACUGCGUACCUUUUGUAUAAUGGGUCAGCGACUUAUAUUCAGUGGCAAGGUUAACCAUCUAGGGGAGCCGUAGGGAAACCGAGUCUUAACUGGGCGUUCAGUCUCUGGAUAUAGACCCGAAACCAGGUGAUCUAGCCAUGGGCAGGUUGAAGGUUGAGUAACAUCAACUGGAGGACCGAACCGACUAAUGUUGAAAAAUUAGCGGAUGACUUGUGGCUAGGGGUGAAAGGCCAAUCAAACCUGGAGAUAGCUGGUUCUCCCCGAAAGCUAUUUAGGUAGCGCCUCGGACGAAUACUACUGGGGGUAGAGCACUGUUAAGGCUAGGGGGUCAUCCCGACUUACCAACCCUUUGCAAACUCCGAAUACCAGUAAGUACUAUCCGGGAGACACACGGCGGGUGCUAACGUCCGUCGUGGAGAGGGAAACAACCCAGACCGCCAGCUAAGGUCCCAAAUUACUACUAAGUGGGAAACGAUGUGGGAAGGCUCAGACAGCCAGGAUGUUGGCUUAGAAGCAGCCAUCAUUUAAAGAAAGCGUAAUAGCUCACUGGUCGAGUCGGCCUGCGCGGAAGAUGUAACGGGGCUAAGUAGUAAACCGAAGCUGCGGCAAUGCACUUUAGUGCAUUGGGUAGGGGAGCGUUCUGUAAGCGGUUGAAGGUGUGUGGUAACGCAUGCUGGACGUAUCAGAAGUGCGAAUGCUGACAUGAGUAACGAUAAAGGGGGUGAAAAACCUCCUCGCCGGAAGACCAAGGGUUCCUGUCCAACGUUAAUCGGGGCAGGGUAAGUCGACCCCUAAGGCGAGGCCGAAAGGCGUAGUCGAUGGGAAACGGGUUAAUAUUCCCGUACUUCUUACAAUUGCGAUGGGGGGACGGAGAAGGCUAGGUGGGCCUGGCGACGGUUGUCCAGGUUCAAGUGCGUAGGCUGAGAAAUUAGGUAAAUCCGGUUUCUCUUAAGGCUGAGACACGACGUCGAGCUACUACGGUAGUGAAGUCAUUGAUGCCAUGCUUCCAGGAAAAGCCUCUAAGCUUCAGAUUGUAAGGAAUCGUACCCCAAACCGACACAGGUGGUCGGGUAGAGAAUACCAAGGCGCUUGAGAGAACUCGGGUGAAGGAACUAGGCAAAAUGGUACCGUAACUUCGGGAGAAGGUACGCUCUCGACGGUGAAGUCCCUUGCGGAUGGAGCUAUUGAGAGUCGCAGAUACCAGGUGGCUGCAACUGUUUAUUAAAAACACAGCACUGUGCAAAAUCGUAAGAUGACGUAUACGGUGUGACGCCUGCCCGGUGCCGGAAGGUUAAUUGAUGGGGUUAGACUUCGGUCGAAGCUCUUGAUCGAAGCCCCGGUAAACGGCGGCCGUAACUAUAACGGUCCUAAGGUAGCGAAAUUCCUUGUCGGGUAAGUUCCGACCUGCACGAAUGGCGUAAUGAUGGCCACGCUGUCUCCACCCGAGACUCAGUGAAAUUGAAAUCGCUGUGAAGAUGCAGUGUACCCGCGGCUAGACGGAAAGACCCCGUGAACCUUUACUACAGCUUGGCACUGAACAUUGACCCUACAUGUGUAGGAUAGGUGGGAGGCUUUGAAACUAGUACGCCAGUAUUAGUGGAGCCGUCCUUGAAAUACCACCCUUGUAGUGUUGAUGUUCUAACGUCUACCCCUUAUCGGGGUUGCGGACAGUGCCUGGUGGGUAGUUUGACUGGGGCGGUCUCCUCCCAAAGCGUAACGGAGGAGCACGAAGGUGGGCUAAUCACGGUUGGACAUCGUGAGGUUAGUGCAAUGGCAUAAGCCCGCUUGACUGCGAGAAUGACAAUUCGAGCAGGUGCGAAAGCAGGUCAUAGUGAUCCGGUGGUUCUGAAUGGAAGGGCCAUCGCUCAACGGAUAAAAGGUACUCCGGGGAUAACAGGCUGAUACCGCCCAAGAGUUCAUAUCGACGGCGGUGUUUGGCACCUCGAUGUCGGCUCAUCACAUCCUGGGGCUGAAGUCGGUCCCAAGGGUAUGGCUGUUCGCCAUUUAAAGUGGUACGCGAGCUGGGUUUAGAACGUCGUGAGACAGUUCGGUCCCUAUCUGCCGUGGGCGUUGGAAGAUUGAAGGGGGCUGCUCCUAGUACGAGAGGACCGGAGUGGACGAACCUCUGGUGUUCGGGUUGUGUCGCCAGACGCAUUGCCCGGUAGCUAAGUUCGGAAUCGAUAACCGCUGAAAGCAUCUAAGCGGGAAGCGAGCCCUGAGAUGAGUCUUCCCUGAUACUUUAAGUAUCCUAAAGGGUUGUUCGAGACUAGAACGUUGAUAGGCAGGGUGUGUAAGCGUUGUGAGGCGUUGAGCUAACCUGUACUAAUUGCCCGUGAGGCUUAACCAUACAACACCCAAGGGGUUU